rfam:Anaerobacillus arseniciselenatis strain DSM 15340 Ga0137926_101, whole genome shotgun sequence.
UAACCUAUUCAGCGAUGAAUACUUGAACAGUCAGAAGUCAGCAGAAGUCAUAGUACCUCGUCAACUCGAGAUGAUGAGGAAAGGAC